CCUACGGGCGGCAGCAGUGAGGAAUAUUGGUCAAUGGGCGCGAGCCUGAACCAGCCAAGUCGCGUGAGGGAUGAAGGUUCUAUGGAUCGUAAACCUCUUUUAUAAGGGAAUAAAGUGUGGGACGUGUCCUAUUUUGUAUGUACCUUAUGAAUAAGGAUCGGCUAACUCCGUGCCAGCAGCCGCGGUAAUACGGAGGAUCCGAGCGUUAUCCGGAUUUAUUGGGUUUAAAGGGAGCGUAGGUGGAUUGUUAAGUCAGUUGUGAAAGUUUGCGGCUCAACCGUAAAAUUGCAGUUGAAACUGGCAGUCUUGAGUACAGUAGAGGUGGGCGGAAUUCGUGGUGUAGCGGUGAAAUGCUUAGAUAUCACGAAGAACUCCGAUUGCGAAGGCAGUUCACUGGACUGCAACUGACACUGAGGCUCGAAAGUGUGGGUAUCAAACAGGAUUAGAUACCCGAGUAGUC
rnacentral:rRNA from 1 species